rnacentral:rRNA from 1 species
GAUGAACGCUGACGGCGUGCCUAAGGCAUGCAAGUCGAACGGGAAGUCUUCGGACUUCUAGUGGCGGAAGGGUGAGUAACGCGUGGGAACAUACCCAUUGGUGGAGGAUAGCUUUCCGAAAGGAAAGGUAAUCCUGCAUGAGUCGGCAACGAGAAAGGGCCUAACCGCCCGCCGAUGGAGUGGCCGGCGUCCUAUCAGCUUGUUGGGGGGGUAAUAGCCUACCAAGGCGAUGACGGGUAGCUGGGCUGAGAGGAUGAUCAGCCACACUGGGACUGAGACGCGGCCCAGACUCCUACGGGAGGCAGCGGUGGGGAAUAUUGGACAAUGGGGGAAACCCUGGUCCAGCCAUGACGCGUGAGUGAUGAAGGCCUUAGGGUUGUAAAGCUCUUUCGCCAGGGAAGAUAAUGACGGUACCUGGAAAAGAAGCCUCGGCUAACUCCGUGCCAGCCGCCGCGGUAA